CAAGGGGAUAUAACUCUCAAAGGGGAUGAUGAAAUCCUACACAGCCUCAUCUGGUAAUACGUCAUAAUGAGAUCUAUCGAUGGUCAAUAUUUGGUCUUAAUGACUUCAAUAGAAACGGGGGGAGGGCAUGUCAAAAAAAUGUUGGAAGAAAAAAAAAACAUAAGACUAGUAUCUCAAUUGUUUGUAAAACAAUUGAAAGGUCUUUCCUGUAAAAGUGAUGUUUUCGUAAUAUUCUUUGUACGACCUUUCGUUUGAUAUACGACAAGCAUACCUUCUGAAACUUUUCGCUUUUUACACUUAAUGACCUCAUCCGCCUACAUUUUUGAGAUCGGAAGUAUGAUAUAUGUAACACAGGGUAGAUGAGCUUUCAUUUGAUAUGCGACAACGCCAUGUUUUAAAAAGUUUGAUUUUUGCACUUAAUAACCCCAUCCAACCAAUUUUUGGGGGUUGGGAAUUUGAUAUUUCAAAUGUAUACAUCAUGACCUUUCAUUUGAUAUACAACAACCCUAUCGUAAAAGAAAAUUUAUUUUUUGCACUCAAUGACCCCAUCCAACCAAUUUUUGGGGGACGUCAAUUUGAAAUUUAAAAUGUACGCUUUAUGUUCUUUCAUUUGAUAUGCGACAACCUUACCAUCUGAGAAAUUUGAAUGUUUGCACUAAAUGACCCAACCCUUCCCCCUGGGAUGAAAAGGGGGUUUAAAAUUUUCAUUUUUAAGUAGAGUUUAUUAAGUCCUUCAAUUUAAUAUAUCAGAUGACCCCAUUUGACAAAGUGCAAAUAAUGAUGCAAUAUCAACUAUAUAAAUAGAAGUUAUGAAACUUACAAAGUCAAUGCAAAACAUGAAAAUUUCAAAUUGAUUUUUUGGUGUUUUUUUCCAUGGAAUGUUUUUGGUAUUUGGUCAAACAUAUAACUAUGUUAACCUCUUCAAUUUCUAAAACAUUUUAAGUGGUAAGCUCUUGAUGAUUCAGAAAUACAUGCCUCCGCUCGCAAAACUUGAAACUGCAUUAUCUCUAAAACGACAAUAGAUAUCUCAAAUCUGUUAAAUGAUAAAUGAUCUACAGUUAAAGGACAACAUUAUAGAAAAAGAAUGUGGACAAUUUCAAAGUUCACCAAGGUCACAAUUAAUCAUCAAAUAUAUGAUGCAAUACAAAACUUGAGAACCGGAAGUCGUAGAGACAUGGGACUAUCACCAUUCAACUCAGGACUACUUGACCUUUCAAAUGUCACAAGGUCAAGGUCAUAGUAUAAUGUGAAGGUCAAGGUGAAAUUUCAUUAUGACCUGACAUUGACCUCAAAUUGAAGGUCUUGAACUACUGAUCAUCUUUGCAGUUUAUAGUAGGUUGAUAUCUGUUACCUUUAAAAAGAUAUACACACAAUACUAUACUUUUAAGUAUCAUCCCGUCGUAACUUUUGAACAGACAGUCGGAAUCUUUUGAGCUCAGUGUAUAAAAAGUAGAGCUCGUCGAGAGGAACAUUUUAUACGCUGUAAGUAUGCAGCAAACUCUUAUCGUUUUCUUAAUAUGCAAGCUUGAAAUUGCAGCGUAAUUUUUUUUUGCACUUGGUGACCUUUGACCUUGGGUGCAAAUUAAAGGUCACAUGAACUUAAGAUUAUUGGUGUAGGUCCCAAGUCUUUACGACUUCCCGGUUCUCGAGAUACAAUUUUUCAAAAAAUUGUGUAUAUUUUUUCAAGGGAAAUAACUCCUUAUAAGGGUUAACAACAAAAUGAUUGUAUAUGUUUAUUAUCAUGGCCAUCUGGUCUUGUAAAUGUUGCCGUUUUCAAAUCGAUUCUAUCUUGAAUACUUUUUGAGAAAAAUGUAAAAGAAAGAAAUUGCUUCACGGGGACGUAACUCUCAUAGGGAAUGAUGAAAUCCUUAGCAGCCUCAUAUGGUAAUACAUCAUGAUGAGAUCUAACUUUUGUCCAAAUAAGGUCAUGAUAUCUUUAAAAACAACGAGGGGGGCCAUGUCGAAAAAAACCAAUAAAAGGGAGAUAACUUCUAAAGAGGAUGAUGAAAUCCUACACAGCCUCAUCUGGUAAUACUUCAUGAUGAGGUCUACCGAUGGUCCAUAUUUGGUCUUGAUAACUCCAAUAGAAAUGAGGGGAGGCCAUGUCAAACAAAUGCUGGAUGAAAAAAAAAAAAACAGGAGAAAAACAAUAAGGUCUUUCCUCGCGGAGAGGAAAGACCUUAAAAAACAAUAAGGUCUUUC
rnacentral:lncRNA from 1 species